AUUGAACGCUGGCGGCAUGCCUAACACAUGCAAGUCGAACGAGUGGCGGACGGGUGAGUAAUGUCUGGGAACCUGCCUGAUGGAGGGGGAUGAGUACUGGAAACCGUAGCUAAUAGCGCACACCAUCAGAUGUGCCCAGAUGGGAUUAGGUUGUUGGUGGGGUAACGGCUAACCAAGGCGACGAUCCCUAGCUGGUCUGAGAGGAUGACCAGCCAAACUGGAACUGAGACACGGUCCAGACUCCUACGGGAGGCAGCAGUGGGGAAUAUUGGACAAUGGGCGAAAGCCUGAUGCAGCCAUGCCGCGUGUAUGAAGAAGGCCUUCGGGUUGUAAAGUACUUUCAGCGGGGAGGCGUUACCCGCAGAAGAAGCACCGGCGAACUACGUGCCAGCAGCCGCGGUAAUAC
rnacentral:rRNA from 1 species